rnacentral:rRNA from 1 species
AGGACGAACGCUGGCGGCGUGCUUAACACAUGCAAGUCGAGCGGAAGGCCCUUCGGGGUACUCGAGCGGCGAACGGGUGAGUAACACGUGAGCAACCUGCCCUUAGCUCUGGGGAUAGCUCCGGGAAACCGGAAUUAAUACCGGAUACGACCUAGGCCGACAUCGGCCAUGGUGGAAAGUUUUUUCGGCUAGGGAUGGACUCGCGGCCUAUCAGCUAGUUGGUGGGGUAAAGGCCUACCAAGGCGACGACGGGUAGCCC